UCCUACAGUUAUACCACCCUGCAGGCACCAGAUCUCAUCUGAUCUCAGAAGCUAAGCAGGUUUGGAUGGGAGAUCUUGAAAGAGAAGUGCUCCCACAUUCAUAAUAUGAAAAUAGUAAGAU
rnacentral:rRNA from 1 species